AUGCAUGCACAGAGGAGCACAGCCCUCCAGGCCGCUGCGGGCAGAGGCGAGCCCAUCCCCCAAGCCCUGCCAGCCCAGACGUGCAGCUGGUACAGAUUUAAAAGGUUGAGGCUGUUCUGUUUCCAGGAAAUCAAUUUUGUAUUUAAGCACUCGAACACACGAAGGAAAACCAAGAUCCUCUCUCUUCACCACUUUAUCUUCAGAAAGGAGACGUUUUGAUGUAAUUUGCAGAACAGAGAACACGCAAUGGGAUUCCCAACAGAAAAGGUGGCAGGCCAGAAGGAAGUGAAACUUUCUGCAGGAAAUUAAUGAAGUGGGUCAAAGCUUUCCUUCCCUCGAGUCUCUCUUUUCUGUAUGCUGUGACCUAAGACGGGAGAGGGGGUCCCUGGGAAUGUCCCUUUAUACCUGAAAGGAGCACUGGAUAGUGUAAGAUUCAGGGUCAAGACACCGUGGAGUGAAGAGUUCAGGAGAAGUCUGCUUUAAUACCUUAAGGAAAGCGAAAGCCAUUCAGCCAUGUCCUGCUCUUUGUGACCCCAUGGUGACCACAUGGGUGGGAUUCUCCAG
rnacentral:lncRNA from 1 species